GUAGUCUGCAACUCGACUACAUGAAGCUGGAAUCGCUAGUAAUCGCGGAUCAGAAUGCCGCGGUGAAUACGUUCCCGGGUCUUGUACACACCGCCCGUCACACCAUGGGAGGUCGGAAAUGCCCGAAGUCUGUGACCCAACCGCAAGGAGGGAGCAGCCGAAGGCAGGUCGGAUGACUGGGGGUGAAGUCGUAACAAGGUAAC
rnacentral:rRNA from 1 species